UGGGGGAUUUGAAAAGGUAUGCAAAUGACAAAAAAGAUUACGGUUUCAUGCCAAGCAAAACAAGGGACACAAACUGCCAUGUCGAGCGAUGGUUUGGAAUUGUGAAACACUCAAUUCUGAGAAAACAAAGGCGACUAAGGCCAGGAACAUUUGUCAGACAAAUGUAUGGCUCUCUACAGCUCAUAACCUCUCUGAGUGGUUGCUACUUAGACCCAUCUCAAAAAAAAAAAAAACAACAACAACAAAAAAAACACUCAAUCUCAGGAAGGUUGGGCAAAGAGAGAUGGAUCAAAGCCUCAAAUUGCCAAGUCCAAAAUUUACACUGCUCCAUCCACUGUUCCAUUUCCAAAGAAAGCAAAGUCCAUCAAGAAAGGCAGCAAAGAUUUUAAUAGCUGCACCACUGACCUCACAUGAGAAGUGUCAGAGCCUGCCACAGAGGUAAUUUUUGAUGAUUAUUCAAAUAAAACGUAUGCUUUACACAUAUUAAAGAUGAUCAGUUUACAGACAGACAUGCAGGGAGGCAGAUAGAUUGAUGUGUUCAAUCAGUCUCCUCACUGCUCCUGUAUAUUACUGGAAACAAAUUAAAGCUUUUUUUCCCCUUCAUUUUCACACAUUGUUUCAGGUCACAUUUGAUGACUAUGAUGGAGCCAUUGGAUUAGUCAACAUAUUUGUCAAUAUAGGAAAUGUUCACUGGAAGUUUGUGUAUCUUCAUGCCCUUUCAAACCACAUUUUUGUGGUUGAUCCUAUGCAAUGGUCAAAUGGAGUUGAGGACUCUAAAUAGGCUGGCUACAAAUUUGGACAGUAUUUCAAGAUGUGUCGUAAUAGACUGUCAAAAGAAGACUGGGUUAACAUCAAGUGGAAGCCCAGAAAAAUAACCCACACUUUCCGAAAAGAUUGUACCAGAUGUGGAGUCUUUGUGAUGCAGAUGGCCAAGAUGACUGUGAUGGAGUUUCCGAACAUUCCAGAAAUCUUUAACAUUGCCCUGUCAAAACAAUCUGUACAAAAUCUAAGAAGAGACAUGGCUGAGGAAAUUCUAAAAGGAUCAAGUAUCAUUUUUCAAAGGUUGAUUUCUGUUUCUACUGUGGAAAUGAGGACCUGCCAAAACCUGUGGAUGCUGUUUGGAUUCAGUGUGGAGCUUGUGCAAGAUGGUUCCACGCACAGUGCCAGAAGCAAAGAUUACCCUUUGUAUUUUGUGUUGUGCGAAAGCCCCAAGUAAAGAGGCUCUAGGACUGUGUGAUUCUCAUUUUUUGAUUCUCAUUACUAUUAUGUCUUGUUGAUCUCUUUAAAAAUGUCAAAGUGC
ensembl:lncRNA